rnacentral:RNase_P_RNA from 1 species
GAGUUGGUCAGGCAAUCGCUGCGUUAACAUUAAGUUUAACGGGGAGGAAAGUCCGGGCUCCAACGAGCAGGGUGCCAGAUAACAUCUGGGGGGCGCAAGCCCACGACAAGUGCAGCAGAGAGAAGACCGCCGAUGGCGCUUUCUAUUUAUAGAAUGAGCACAGGUAAGGCUGAAAGGGUGCGGUAAGAGCGCACCGGACGACUGGUAACAGUUCGUUGCAGGGUAAACUCCACCCGGAGCAAGACCAAAUAGGGUUUCACUACUUUUCGAAGUUAAGGCGCGGCUCGCGUUGAAACCGGGUAGGUUGCUUGAGCCUGUGAGCAAUUGCAGGCCUAGACGAAUGAUUGUCCACGACAAAACCCGGCUUAUCGACCAACUCC